GACACGUUCACGUUCGCUGCCUAUCAUUCGUGUUAUCGCUCCACGCGUGACUCCACUAAAUAGCUAUUUUUAUAUAUACGGGGUUCACAUCAGGCAGGCGGUGGAUCGUAAAAAGUAUAUUAAAUUGAUUCUGCAACAUACGUGCCUGUUGCACCAGCACUACGUUACAUUACUGUACGCUCGAAUAAAACAAGAGAAUAAUUGACAACGAAGUAUAAAAAUCCUCUUAUUUAUUUACGAAAUAAAUUAUUUGAUGUCAGCAACAAAA